rnacentral:rRNA from 1 species
GACGAACGCUGGCGGCGUGCUUAACACAUGCAAGUCGAACGGUGAUGCUCCAGCUUGCUGGCGUGGAUCAGUGGCGAACGGGUGAGUAACACGUGAGCAACCUGCCCCAGACUCUGGAAUAAGCGCUGGAAACGGCGUCUAAUACUGGAUACGAAACUGGCCCGCAUGGGCAUGGUUUGGAAAGUUUUUCGGUUUGGGAUGGGCUCGCGGCCUAUCAGCUUGUUGGUGAGGUAAUGGCUCACCAAGGCGACGACGGGUAGCCGGCCUGAGAGGGCGACCGGCCACACGGGACUGGGGACACGGCCCGGACUCUUCCGGGAGGCAGCGGUGGGAAUUAUUGCACAAGGGGCGAAGGCCGGAUGCAGGGACGCGGCGGGGGGAAUGACGGCCUUCGGGUUGAAACCCUCUUCCGGCGGGAAGGAAGCGAAGGUGACGGUACUGCAGAAGAAGCACCGGCUAACUACGUG